GCAGUGAGACUGAACCCGGAACCAUGUGGCUGGUAAGCAAGCUACUUACCACACAGCCACUCCUGCGCCUAGUAAACAAAAUGUAUAUAUGGACCCAUAAAUCACAAUUUUUUUACUCGUGGACCCCCUUAAAGCUUCUGUGGAUCCCGUUGGGAACAUUGAACUCAUAAUACUGACAUG